rnacentral:lncRNA from 1 species
ACUUUUGUGUAUGUUAACUCAGGUUUUCUUCCAUUUCAGGAUUUGCAACUCGUAUUAUUCUGAAGUUGAGAGUUUUGUAGGUGCUUGAUAAACAUUUCUGGUUAUUAUGUUCCGUAAGAGCUACUAUUUCGCCCGAGCAAUGGGCUGCUGUAGCUGUUUCGGGUUAAUAAAGAGAACGAAGCCAAAACCAAUGCCUAUUCCUGUGAGAAAUCAUAACAUUUCUCAGGAA